UACGUAGGGGGCAAGCGUUGUCCGGAAUCAUUGGGCGUAAAGCGCGCGUAGGCGGCCCGGUAAGUCCGCUCUGAAAGUCCAGGGCUCAACCCUGGAAAGCGGGUGGAUACUGCCGGGCUAGAAUCCGGAAGAGGCGAGUGGAAUUCCUGGUGUAGCGGUGGAAUGCGCAGAUAUCAGGAGGAACACCAAUAGCGAAGGCAGCUCGCUGGGACGGUAUUGACGCUAAGGCGCGAAAGCCAGGGGAGCAAACGGG
rnacentral:rRNA from 1 species